rnacentral:lncRNA from 1 species
UCCUCAUGUGUAUUGGUCCAAACAGAGCCACUUCUGGGGCCACCCGGGGCAACUCGCGGGAUUUCUAUUCGGCCAUCGUACGUAGUGCUCAUCUCAUAGUGCCCUAAGAGAGAGAUACAUGCGACUCCUAUUGGAAUUUGGCCUGUCGGACGGUCUUCCUGGAUUUGUUUAACCCUUCUCGAACGUCUUGUGCGCAGGAUUCCGAGGAUACACUGGGAUAUCUCGAGGUUGAGGUUUUCCAUCGGAAUUUCCGAGGAGACUACGAUUCUUCCGUGGUUGAGGUUAUUCCUUGCAGCUUGUGGUAGUUUGUGAUGGACUAGUUGGAGCACCCCUACAGGGUUAAUAUCUUUCGAAAAGCCAUGGCCGCGGUUAUGUGGCAACUUAGAAACUUUCUUCUAGCAAACUUUAAUUAAAAUCAAAUAAAAUAUGUCAACCGUGUGUGUAACCGUGACUUUCUCUACUCGUGAGUUUUGCAUCCGAGAGAGGACACAGUGGGGUUCUGUUUCACUCAUAAGUAGAUGUUCAGGAUCACAACGGGAUCAUUAUUAGUUCACAACCAUUAUGCGUAGAUCACCCCCCUCUUAUUACUUUACUCGUAAGUUAGUGACUCAAAUAAAUUCUUAGUGCUUGUUGUAGCGUCACCACUUAACCAUACCUCACCGAUCAAGCGUUGCUAUUCCUGAUACCUUUGGAAAUGAGAUUGUUGAUUUACUGUGGCUCACAUAUUACUACAACAACAGUUGCAGGUAUAUGUAACGCAAUACUUUGACAUGAGCGAGAUGAUUGUUUUAUUUGGAGUUUCUUCUUCUUCUUCAUCGAUCUAGGGUGGGUUCUAGGCCGGCAGGCUGGGAUAGCAAGGAUGGACGUCACUUACUUUUAUCGUUUGAUUUCGUGCAUAGUAGAACCCUACUCUUUUACAUGAUGAAUGAAUGUAUUGUUGUAUUGAGAUGUUCAUGUUGUUGCUCGUGUCGAGUGUAAGCCAAUCCCGUAUACUCAUCUCUUCUAUACAUGUAAUUGUAAUGAUAAACGUUCUUGCGAUA